GAUGAGAAAUGAAUUCACAAUCACACAUGUUCUCAUCCCCAGACAAAAUGGUGGGCCUGAUUAUUGCCACACAGAGAAUGAAGAAGAAAUUUUCUUUAUGCAGGAUGAUCUUGGACUCCUCACUCUUGGCUGGAUCCACACCCAUCCAACCCAAACGGCCUUUCUGUCCAGUGUGGAUCUGCACACGCACUGCUCCUACCAAAUGAUGUUACCAGAGUCCAUAGCAAUUGUCUGCUCCCCCAAGUUCCAGGAGACUGGAUUCUUUAAAUUAACUGACUAUGGCCUUCAAGAGAUUUCAACCUGCCGGCAGAAAGGCUUUCACCCCCAUGGCAGAGACCCACCGCUGUUCUGUUGUCCAUCUGCUGCAAAAGGAAGCUUUGUUGGUGAAGGGACUGCAGCCAUGUCACUGUCAAAGACAGAAUUGUGACGAUCACAGACCUUCGAUAAAUCUCAGUCAUGAACCAGGAGGUGGCCCACUGGGUAAACACACUUGCCACCAAGCCCAACAGCCCAAGUUCUAUUGCUGGGAUCCCCCCAAGUUGUCCUCUAACCUCCAUUUGUGUACUGUGGUAUGUGUGUACCCACAUAUACACACACAGACACAGACACACACACAUAUUAAUUAAUUUAAA
rnacentral:lncRNA from 1 species